rnacentral:rRNA from 1 species
ACGAACGCUGGCGGCAUGCCUAACACAUGCCAGUCGAACGCGACCUUCGGGUCUAGUGGCGCACGGGUGCGUAACGCGUGGGAACCUGCCCUUAGGUUCGGAAUAACUCCCCGAAAGGGGUGCUAAUACCGGAUAAUGUCUUCGGACCAAAGAUUUAUCGCCUUUGGAUGGGCCCGCGUUGGAUUAGCUAGUUGGUAGGGUAAAAGCCUACCAAGGCGACGAUCCAUAGCUGGUCUGAGAGGAUGAUCAGCCACACUGGGACUGAGACACGGCCCAGACUCCUACGGGAGGCAGCAGUGGGGAAUAUUGGACAAUGGGCGAAAGCCUGAUCCAGCAAUGCCGCGUGAGUGAUGAAGGCCUUAGGGUUGUAAAGCUCUUUUACCCGGGAUGAUAAUGACAGUACCGGGAGAAUAAGCGCCGGCUAACUCCGUG